AUACUUUUAAAUGACAUCUUUUUGUAUGAAUAUUGUGACCCCUGUUUUCAUCUUGCUUGCCUUCCCCUAACAUCUCUGUCUGCUUCCGCUGUCCCUUCACUCAUGGAUUCUGUCCACCUUUAAAGGCUAGCCUUGUACAUCAAUUUGUAACAAUUUAACAUGCAGAUAUCAUCAUAAAUCCUUACCAGAGCAAGGAGGGGAAUGAGUGAGAAAGAAAGAAGGAAAGAAAGAAAAUGAAUCGAUCACUAAAUAAAGAGAAAUUUGGAGAUUUAACCAUAAGGCCAGGCAAUGAACACAAUAAGGAAGAUGUUCUGAACUGCUAACAUGGUGACCCGACCACGGAGUUGGGAACACACUGCUGCAUCUGAAGGUUCAGUGUAUUUUGUUCCCCAGCAUGAGUUUCGGGAAGAAGCUGGACGCCUGUUCACACCCGCAGCCAACCUCGCUGGCCCCAGGGCAUCGCUGGAUGUGGGCAGGAUACUCGACGAUGAGUUCCACAGACGCAUUCCUGUGGUCUGCCGUUGUUUUUAGUGAUGUAGUCACUGCUUUCAAUGUCUAAUUACAGGAUUUUGUUUAUUUUUAAAAACAGUGUAAUCUUGAUGUA